AAACCCAGCUAAUGACCAACAGCAAGAAGCACAGGGUGACGGUGGAUGGUAACAUUUUGCAUUAUGUCGAUGAAUCGCCAGGACAAGGAGAUCGAUAGAAGGAUCGAAAACGCCUGGAGGAGCUUCUGGUCCAUGAAGGAACUCAUGAAGGGUAAACUCCCAAUUGCACUGAAGCGCAAGCUCGUCGACAUGUGCAUCUUGCCCAUCCUCACCUAUGGUGCCCAAACCUGGUCACUAACUGAGGCGCAGAAAUCCCGGCUCAAGGUUUGCCAAAGGGCAAUGGAGCGAAGUAUCCUGGGUGUCCGAAGAUCUGACAGGGUGAGGAACACAGAGCUUCGCUCCAAAACCCGAGUCGUUGAUGUUGGGGUGAAGACCGCCAGGCUAAAGUGGGACUGGGCUGGACAUGUCUGCCGGAUGCAUGAUGACAGAUGGGCCAAAAUAGCCACUAGCUGGCAUCCCCAGGGUAGUCGAGGCAGAGGCAGACCGAGAAAGAGAUGGCGGGACGACCUGGAUGCAUUCCAGCGGGAUUGGCGGGAUCUUGCUCAGCACAGGGAGGAUUGGAAAGGGAGAGGGGAGGCCUUUGCCCAGCAGUGGGACACACACAUAGGCUAAUAAAAAUAAAAAUAAAAA